rnacentral:sRNA from 1 species
CUCUGCCGCCGAAUAAGAGCAUUCGCUCCUGCUUUAUUGUAGACCGCUCUUUCGGGGGCGGUCUUUUUUUGUGCACUUG